AAGCCUACUACUCUUUGGCCCGCUUGCUUGCAUGGAAUGAAUAGGCUUGCUGAUUGGCUUACCUAGUGGAACUAUUAAGCAUAAAGCAUAGAUGCCAUACUCUUCUUUCGUGCACUAUGCUUAAGACAUAUAAUUAGAAGAAAGACAUUUGCAAUUGGCUAGGGCAGUUCCCUACACGGGCGAAUUCCGACACUCACAAUACGCCCCACAACUUUCGCCUACUGAGCUUGGGCUGGUAAGCUCCGGGGCCUCUUUCCUUCCUCUGUGUUCGUCCCCCUGCUUCCUAUAGUACUUUCCUUUGGCUUGGAAGGCAGCCACUUAUUAUGGAAUGGCAUAUAUGAUGAUGAUGGUAGCUAUCUGCCUAGCCUUUGGUACAUAUUUUAUUAAUAUUAUUUACCAUCCUUAACAGAUGACUUACAUUGUAGAGAAAGGUUUAUCUAACUAGUUAGGGAGUUUGGCUGAGCACCCUGCUUUCUUACUCUUUCUCGAUGGUAGGCACCCAACGUCGCCAAAGAAAUUAGCCUCUCCUUCUUCCUCAAUAGAUUUAUUAAAAUAUCCAUGGUGCUGGUAUGCA
rnacentral:lncRNA from 1 species